UUGCGGUCUUACUUUGGAGAGAGAGCGCACGCAGCAUGCAUCACAUCCCUCUCCUAGAAAGAAUGACAAGUCCUGAAAGGAGGAACGGAAUGUGCCGAGGGCGGCGGGGCGUGCAAGCGGAGCGCCGAACCUCGGACUUCUCGCGGUUUUUUUUUUCUUUGUCACCGCGCUGGGGAGGGAAGCGAGCUCCGUGGCGUGCGGGAGUUCCCUUCCCGCGAAAUCGUAGCUCUUUCGAGCGAGGAAACACUACGCAGAGGCGGGCAUUGGGCAAGCACUCAGAAGCAUUUCGUUUGCCUUGAUCCUGGAGGCGCGCGGCCGUCUCCCGCUGCCGAGGAUUUGACGCGAACUCGUAAGUGACAUUCUAUUUCCUCGGUGUAUCGUAUGGUGACUUCUGUCUAGCGACAAAAUCAAAUUUUAUUUGCGCACUUGAUGCGUCAAUCUGGUCGUCUCUUCUAGCGGGCAGAUAAGAAAUGUUCAGGCGAACGGUGGUUAUAUUUGUCCGUGGACCCAAGACAUCGUUGACGGGCAAAUAUGAACACUGCAACAAGGACUGGUGUGGAUAGCGUGCUGCGCUGGUCUCGUCAACUGAAAAGAAUUCUGUGACAUUACGAGCCAACAAGGAAAACCUCAAUCCAUCCUGUCUCCACAUAUUAUCAAGUUUGUGCACUGUGGAGCUUGAAGCACUUCUCAGAAUUUCAGCACACUCGCAUUUAUUUCUUCUCCGACAGAAGAACAAUGCAAGUCUCACAUCUUGAUGAGGGUGGCGAUUUACCCUCUCACAUCUCGACGGUAAAACGUCGCAUCUGCGUACGUGUUCAGGGCCAAGAGCACGAGAACUGGCCGAAAGAAGGGAGCCGAUCCAACAAGAAUGCCGUCCGUUUUAUAUAUAUGUCAGCGCUAUCACGCAGCGAUCACAUGGACUGUACGGUUGCGUUGCACAAGGGCUGAUGCAAACGCUCCGUGCGAACAAUGUUGCAUGUAAAAUUAGUACAUCUAUACAAUUGCAAAAUAAACAUAU